rnacentral:rRNA from 1 species
AUUGAACGCUGGCGGCAUGCCUUACACAUGCAAGUCGAACGGUAACGCGGGGCAACCUGGCGACGAGUGGCGAACGGGUGAGUAAUGCAUCGGAACGUGCCCAGUAGUGGGUGAUAGCUCGGCGAAAGCCGGAUUAAUACCGCAUACGACCUACGGGUGAAAGCGGGGGACCGUAAGGCCUCGCGCUAUUGGAGCGGCCG